GAUGAACGCUGGCGGCGUGCCUAAUACAUGCAAGUCGAACGCUGAAGGAGGAGCUUGCUCUUCUGGAUGAGUUGCGAACGGGUGAGUAACGCGUAGGUAACCUGCCUGGUAGCGGGGGAUAACUAUUGGAAACGAUAGCUAAUACCGCAUGACAACAGUUAUUGCAUGAUAACUGUUUAAAAGGUGCAACUGCUCCACUACCAGAUGGACCUGCGUUGUAUUAGCUAGUUGGUGAGGUAACGGCUCACCAAGGCGACGAUACAUAGCCGAACUGAGAGGGUGAGCGGCCACACUGGGAGGGAGACACGGCCCAGACUGCUACGGGAGGCAGCAGGAGGGAAUCGGCGGCAAUGGACGGAAGACUGACCGAGAAACGCCGCGUGAGUGAAGAAGGUUGUCGGAUCGGAAAGCUCUGUUGUAAGAGAAGAAAGAGUGUGAGAGUGGAAAGUUCACACUGUGACGGUAUCUUACCAGAAAGGGACGGCUAACUACGUG
rnacentral:rRNA from 1 species